UAGGGAAUAUUGCAAAAUGGGCGAAAGCCCGAUGCAGCAACGCCGCGUGGGCGAUGAAGGCCUUCGGGUCGUAAAGCCCUUUUUGUGGGGAUGAGGAAGGACAGUACCCUCAGAAUAAGCCUCGGCUAACUACGUGCCAGCAGCCGCGGUAAAACGUAGGAGGCGAGCGUUAUCCGGAUUUACUGGGCGUAAAGCGCGUGCAGGCGGAUUGGAGAGUUGGAUGUGAAAGCUCCCGGCUUAACUGGGAGAGGUCGUUCAAUACUGCGGUGCUUGAGGGUAGAAGAGGGGGGUGGAAUUGCCGGUGUAGUGGUGAAAUGCGUAGAUAUCUGGAAGAACACCAGUUGCGAAGGCGGUCUCUUGGUCCGACACUGACGCUGAGGCGCGAAAGCGUGGGGAGCAAACA
rnacentral:rRNA from 1 species